CAGAUGAUGGUCCUUUGACAAAGGAUUGGGUUUCUGCCUCUGGCUCAUUGACAAAAGGGAGGGAGGCAGGAAGGUGGGAGCUGCUUUGUCUUUAAAACAUGUUUCUCCAUUUCUCAACCAGGGAAAUAUAAUAUUCUGCCUUUUUAAUAUUUCCUAAAAUAUUUCAUUCUUCUAGGAAAGGGGUGGGUGCUAACUUCCUACAGUCCCUCUUGCUGCAACUAAACCAUCUGCUUCGGCACAGAAAGGAGCAGGCCAGGAAACCACCCGUUGGCCUAUAACUCUCACCUGUUGACCUACUUGCCUGGGACACCUACCUCUUCACACAUCAAAAUCACAUGAGGUCCUCACUUAAUGACUAACGGGUUCCUGGAAUUGCAAUGGCAACUGGAAGUGCCAGGAUUGCCCUUACCAAGCAAUGCGGUCAUGUGUCACUUUUUAUAACCUUAUAAAUUUACAUUAUAAGCA